UUCAAGCGUUGAUCGACAUGGUAAUGGCUCUAUAGUAUUGGAGAAAAGUUGAAAAAACGGACCCUCUGUUACCUCAUGACGUGUCAUGCUGUAACGUACAGCACGCAUAAAGCUACUUUUUCUGUCUUACAAUCUCUCUCCACCAGGUGUAGCACUUCUCUUAUCGUUUAAAAACAAGAUAUGGACAGUGAUGAGGGCAAAGGGGGAUACCUAGUCAUAUUUUGUGUCGUCACUGCAAGCGAUAACGACUCUCAAAAAAACUGUUUACCUAUAGGUAUGUAAGCACACAUUAUAUAAACUCUUUAUAGUGUUUUAUUUACAUUUUAGAGACGAUAAGGUGAUAAGUUGGACAGAUCGAGUGAAAAAAAGCAAUUUUCCCACACAACAUCUCUCCUUCUCACUAUCAUGCAUUAGUUUCGCUUCCCCACCUGCCAUUUUUACAAAGACCCAACGGGGCUCAUUGCCUUCUUGAAUCAUGCAGAAACGGGCAGCGUUUAGGUCAUGUCAUUUAUUUUGUUGGAAAUGGGAGAAAGUGUGCUUUACAAUGGUAUUGACAUUACAGUUGAUCUGGAACUAUUACGUUUUUGGGGCACUAAAAUAAGGUCAAUUGUACAGACCAAGGCGAUGUACAAAAGUGAGUGAGUUUACGUAAGCUAGCUGACGUUAGAUGGCUGGCUCGCUAGCUAACAUUACAUUUAUGAUCUGUGUGUAGUAAUUUAAUCUGAGAAUGCCAUUUCAUGUUGCCAGUUAUAGCCUAAUGUUAGCUAGCUAACAUUGAACCUAUUUGGUUAACUUUAGCUAUGACAAUCUGUUCGUAUUGCUACUACUCUAUGGAUUAGGAUUAUGGUUCAUUGUUUAGCUAGCAUGUCUAAACAAAAGACUCCAACUCGCCAGAUGAUUACAUGACCCAUCAAGUUAGCCAGGUAUGUCUGACGGUGAUUAUGGCAACUAUUGUAUAAUAAUGGCAACAUAUUUGUAUCUGGAAUUUGCCUUUCAGCAUCAGUAGAACAAGUCUUUCUCUCAUCCACCAGUCAUACAAGGAUAAUGGUCAAAUGCCUACCAUCAAAAAGAGAGCUGGCCCAAGCAAGCCAGGUUACACCUGAAGCAUGAGGACUUGCAGCAAAUGGUGAACUUCAUCAAUAACUACGCAGAGGAUAACGCAAUAGUAUUACCAGGACGCCAUCCCAGGACACAAACACUUUGGUGGAGAGCUGCUGCAAUCCCAUGUGACAAAAGCAGCAGUGUGGCGUCUCUACAAGAAUCGAUGACAACACUUGGAAUUUUCCAAGAUGAUGUUUCUGUAUGCAGUGCUGAUGCUCUGCACAUUUGUAGGUGCACUAUCCUUCUGACCCUAUGCAGCCAGGUCCCAUCUACUUUUUAACUCCUCGCAAGUGUGGCUUGUUUGGUGUCUGCUGUGAAGCAACUACUUAAUUGAUGAAGGCAUGUCAUCCAGCAAAGGCAGAAGCUCGGUCAUCAACUACAUGCACCAUUUCUUCACCAACUAUGGAGUUGGGGAAACACAUGUGGACCUUAAUUGUGAUAACUGCAGUGGCCAAAACAAGAACAAGUUUGUGCUCUGGUAUUGUGCCUGGUGGACCAUGCUUAAGCUCCACUACAGUCUGGACCUUCACUUACCUGAUCACAGGCCACACCAAGUUUGGCCCCGACUGGUGCUUCGGCCUCAUCAAGCAGCACUUCAGAAAGACCAGAGUGAACACUUGGUCUGAGAUUGCUGGUGUUGUGAAGGACAGCACUGUGACAGGG